rnacentral:tRNA from 1 species
UAUAUUUUAGUGUAAGAGGCACAAAAAUUUUUGAAAUUUUGGGUUUUAGUUUAAUUCUAAGAAAUAUAG